GUAAUACGGCCCUCAUCGUGCCACCAUCGGGACGGCGUCACGCCACUGAUCGCCUCACGCCGACCGAUCUGUUUACGGGAACCCAAGGUCACGGCUUACAGGUUGCAGCACAUUUGAGUGUGUUUACAGCAAUUAAAACGGGCAGCGUGAAGGAGAAGGGUGACCAUGAGUUUCGGGGUAGACGUAGUGAAAACGGGAUUAAUUGGCGCAUUAUUGGAUCACAUGUCACAGUUGACACGAUGAGCCAGGUUGUCUGCUGACCAUCAGAUGUAACAUUCCACCUGGAUUCAGAGAUUUGUCCCCUUACAACAUCUUUAUGAUCGAACCAAUGUUGAUGUCAGAGGAAAUAAAUGUUAUAUGUUUGAGGCUGCUCUGCAAGGACGAGAGAGCUAGAGCGGCAGAGUAUGGGAGAAGUGACAGCAUCAGAGGAGAGAUCAGAGGCCAGAGCGUGUUCACAUCCAGAUGGGCAGCAAUGCAAUAUCUUACCCAUACAACCUCUCUGUCACCGUCCGCCCCAAAUAGCACAUAAAACCACUCAGCUGAGGAGAAAUAAACUAACAACGGAU
rnacentral:lncRNA from 1 species